rnacentral:misc_RNA from 1 species
GGGAAUCAGCAAAUGGUGGAACGCAAAGGGCACGCGCGUCGGAGAGGAGGCCGGGGGGAGGGGCAGCCUAAAAAAAAGCGACGGAGUCGAUGGGGCGCGGUGACAUUCGUCGGAAAUUGGGUCAUCUUAAACCUUUGGGUUUUUUAAGCGGCUUAAAACUUUCUUUACGAUUCCACGAACGUUUCUAAGAUUUUACUUCUUACACACGUUUAAGGUAUCGAUCUUUAUUAGACGUGGCCGUUGCAUCGGAUCGCGUCCAUAAAUAUUUCGUUAACUGACCUCAUACAGGUAAGAACACCCG